GAUGAACGCUGGCGGCGUGCCUAAUACAUGCAAGUCGAGCGAACAGACGAGGAGCUUGCUCCUCUGACGUUAGCGGCGGACGGGUGAGUAACACGUGGAUAACCUACCUAAGACUGGGAUAACUUCGGGAAACCGGAGCUAAUACCGGAUAAUAUAUUGAACCGCAUGGUUCAAUAGUGAAAGACGGUUUUGCUGUCACUUAUAGAAGGAUCCGCGCCGCAUUAGCUAGUUGGUAAGGUAACGGCUUACCAAGGCAACGAUGCGUAGCCGACCUGAGAGGGUGAUCGGCCACACUGGAACUGAGACACGGUCCAGACUCCUACGGGAGGCAGCAGUAGGGAAUCUUCCGCAAUGGGCGAAAGCCUGACGGAGCAACGCCGCGUGAGUGAUGAAGGUCUUCGGAUCGUAAAACUCUGUUAUUAGGGAAGAACAAAUGUGUAAGUAACUAUGCACGUCUUGACGGUACCUAAUCAGAAAGCCACGGCUAACUACGUG
rnacentral:rRNA from 1 species